AUAUUCCUCACUUGUUGGUAAUUUGCAGUAGCAAAAACCUAACUCCUCAAUUAGAGAAAAUUCCUAAGAGACCAUUAGAUCUUCGUCUCUCUCACUGAAGAAUUUGACUAAACUGUAAAAGAUUUCCAAAGGCUUCACUCGAAGGAUUGGGCAUGUGUAGGCUUUGAGAUGAGCAUCACUUGGAAAGUUUUCCUUAGUUUUACCUCGAACUCCUUUAAUAGUAUGGUGG
rnacentral:lncRNA from 1 species